AUCCCCUUAAUCCUUUUCAAUUUUUUUCACCAAAACACGCACCAAACAAACCUCUCUGUCUCUAACAUUCCCCCUUCAUCGCAACCAGCUAGAAUAUCCAUUUUUGGCUAAGGUUCAGAUGCAUUUUUGCUUUCCCAGAGCUUAUUCGCCUAUUAAUGACAAAUAAUUUAUUGGACCUUGUCUUCUUCCUCAGUUCCAAACGGUAACUUGAUGCUUUUCAAUUUCUUUGGGAUUUUAUCUUUUCUUUUCCAAUGGAAAUGGACAGAUUUAAAAGAAUUCUUUUCAAAUCCAGAUUUUUAAACGAAUUCUCAAACAAAUUUCAAAUUGGACAUUGUCCCACAUUGGUACUUUGACAAAAUAUUAGGUUUUUGGGGUUCUAUAAAUUGAACACCCAUUUCUUCAUUCAAGGAGAGGUUUUUUUAACAACCGCAAUAAGUUUGAAAACACCAAAGUUCUAAAAUUUUCAAUUACUUGGCUGUGAACAAGAAAUUUCUCUUGUAAGUUGAAAUCUUGAAUCAUCAAAACUAGUUAAAACAUUUUUUGAGUUAGAGUCAAUUCGUCGUCGUUGGUGAAAUGUCGAAGGUGAUCAGCCACUCUCGUCGCCCCCGUCGCUGCUUGACAAAAAGGUAAUUCGCAAAUCCCUUCUCUUUAUUUUCCAUUUUCUUUUAAUUUCGGAAUUUGUGUAGUGUUAUAGAGGUUUUUUUUCUCUUCAAUUUGUUCUGUUUAGUCUACUUCAUUUAAGUUAAUUUUAGCUAUAUAGCUUAAGGUUGAUAUGAAGGCUGCGUUACUUUGAGUAAUGCAUGUGUUUAAGCUGUAAACUGAUUUGCUAUUAGCUGUUAGUAUGAUUUAAUUCUAGUUCAGAAAGUUUGGUUAAUAUCGAUAUAGUUAUGAACUAGGUGCUUUAACAUUCAAAUGUCCACUGCCUAGGCCUAAUUAUACAAAAAUAUCCAUUGUUUUAGUUUGUUGAAAUAACUACCUGACCCUUGUGGGUUAACAGUCCUUAGAUAUCAACCGUUGUUUGGUUAAACUUCAGUUUAUUUCAAAGAAAGGAAAAACAAAUAACUAUUGGUUCGUUCAAAUUUUUCUGAGUCUACCUCUAGUUUUUCCCUGACUUUCAAAGGAUAUUGUAGACAACUAUGUGUAAUUAUCUAUGUUAGCUCAAUGACUUGGUGUAUUUAAUAUUAAAAUCUUAAAAUGGUAACUGUCUCUUGAGGGAAAGAAAAGAAUGAGUCUCAAGUAUGAAAUGAUCAAAGGUCUUCUUAUAGUUAUGCUAAAUCAAGUCUGGAAUGCAAUAGAUCAUGUCUAUUUCUUCUUUGCCUAUUGUCAAUUCCUCUAUAUGUCCGAUGCUCCUCCUAAACUGUUUAAUAAGUUUCAUGAUCAUCUUUAAAUCUUCGUUUAUUAUCCAAAUUGGAACAUGCUUCAGUUGUAGCUUAAGGGAUACAAUUUGUUUUCAAAAAGAAA